CGGCGAUUACCGGAGCGUCUCGGAGCUGAGGGGAUUAUAGAUGGCUAACGCUAACACAGUGACACACUGACGGACCUGUUGGCGUGGUUUUGCAUCAACUGAAAGAAUGCUAAGUGAGAAAUAAACCGAACAAAGUGGGAGCGGGAUUGGGAGAAGCCUGACCAAAAUAGAGGAACGGAAGAAGUAAAGAUUCAGCAGCGGUCCGUAAAUGUUCCUUCACGUCUGAAAGGCGAUCUGAAAUCCAGACAGAGUCUCAGCGUCGGAUUGAACCUUCCGGAAGCAGAAGUCCUCAAGUCUGAAGAAGCAGAGGGCUUAUAACUAAUGGGUUUGUAGUGCAUGUAGAAGUAAUUUCCUACAAAACAGAGAAGACUAAUACAGUAAUGGAGUACUGCCAUUCAUGUACUACAGUAAAGCCCAAUAGAGCUCUUAUAGAAGGCUUAUGGAAAUCUGAUGGAGGUCUUACAGAAGUCUUAUGGAAGUCUUAUGGAAGUCUUAUGGACUUAUGGAGGUCUUAUGUAAGGCUUAUGGAGGUCUUAUGGAAGUCUUAUGGAGGUCUUAUGGAGGUCUUAUGGCAGUCUUAUGGAAGGCAUAUGGAGGUCUUAUGGCAGUCUUAUGGAGGUCUUAUGGAGGUCUUAUGGAGGUCUUAUGGAAGGCAUAUGGCAGUCUUAUGGAAGGCAUAUGGAGGUCUUAUGGAAGUCUUAUGGCGGUUUUAUGGAAGUCUUAUGGAGGUCUUAUGGCAGUCUUACGGAAGGCUUAUGGAAGUCUUAUGGAGGUGUUAUGGCAGUCUAUGGAGGUCUUAUGGCAGUCUUAUGGAGGUCUUAUGGAGGUCUUAUGCCAGUCUUAUGGAAGGCAUAUGGAGGUCUUAUGGAGGUCUUAUGGAGGUCUUAUGGCGGUUUUAUGGAGGUCUUUUGGAGGUCUUAUGGAAGUCUUAUGGCAGUCUUAUGGCAGUCUUAUGGAAGUCUUAUGGCAGUCUUAUGGAAGGCUUAUGGAGGUCUUAUGGCAGUCUUAUGGAAGGCAUAUGGAGGUCUUAUGGCAGUCUUAUGGCAGUCUUAUGGCAGUCUUAUGGAAGGCUUAUGGAGGUCUUAUGGCAGUCUUAUGGAAGGCAUAUGGAGGUCUUAUGGAAGUCUUAUGGAGGUCUUAUGGCAGUCUUAUGGCAGUCUUAUGGAAGGCAUAUGGAGGUCUUCUGGAGGUCUUAUGGCAGUCUUAUGGCAGUCUUAUGGAGGUCUUUUGGCAGUCUUAUGGAGUAAUGAGUCUGAAUUUAAGAUAUUUCAUUCACAAAUAUCUUGCAGAAUUUUGUGGACAUUUCCCAACAUUAAAUGUACCUAUAAAUGUAUGAAACCCGUCGCUGAUUAUUUUCCCGCUAUAUCAGCACGACACUGUCGUGUUUUAUUCCUUACUUGGAAUACCAAUGUCUUCCUGCCUAUUCAUAAACCUGAAGCACGUGGUGCUAUUUAUGAACUACGAUAACUAUUUUAAGAUUUCUAUUUCAUUGGACAAAUGAAAUGUUUACGCAGUCAGUUUUCUCGAGUCUGGGUUCGGUUCCUGUCAGAACACUCCCAAAAAUUCCGACUCGGGCUUCACUGCCUGAGGUCGAAACGUGAAGGUUUUCUUCCCCCCUCAAUCAGAAGGUGGGAAUUGCGAUUAUUCCCGUAUGACGUGAACGCAGCAUUAGCAUAACUGAAAGCUGUGUGGUCCCGUGAGAACGCGGUGUCGCUUGGGAUGAGACGCGGUUGAAAGGGGCCCUGCUUUUUUUGGUCCGGGGUUAUUAAGGGACUCUGGGAUAGUCGCUUCAAUGAUUCCCCCUGCAGGGAGACUGAAAAGAAUUGAACCAAGCCGUUCGAUCGUAG
ensembl:lncRNA